UACGAAGGGGGCUAGCGUUGUUCGGAUUUACUGGGCGUAAAGCGCACGUAGGCGGAUCGUUAAGUCGGGGGUGAAAUCCUGGGGCUCAACCCCAGAACUGCCUUCGAUACUGGCGAUCUCGAGUCCGGAAGAGGUGAGUGGAACUCCUAGUGUAGAGGUGGAAUUCGUAGAUAUUAGGAAGAACACCAGUGGCGGAAAGGCGGCUCACUGGUCCGGUACUGACGCUGAGGUGCGAAAGCGUGGGGAGCAAACAGG
rnacentral:rRNA from 1 species